CCCUACGGGGGGCAGCAGUAGGGAAUCUUCCACAAUGGACGAAAGUCUGAUGGAGCAACGCCGCGUGAGUGAAGAAGGGUUUCGGCUCGUAAAGCUCUGUUGGUAGUGAAGAAAGAUAGGGGUAGUAACUGGCCUUUAUUUGACGGUAAUUACUUAGAAAGUCACGGCUAACUACGUGCCAGCAGCCGCGGUAAUACGUAGGUGGCAAGCGUUGUCCGGAUUUAUUGGGCGUAAAGCGAGUGCAGGCGGUUCAAUAAGGCUGAUGUGAAAGACCUGGGGCCAACCAGAGAAUU
rnacentral:rRNA from 1 species